ACCUGGGUGGCUCAGUUGGUUAAGUGCCUGACUUCAGCUCAGGUCAUGAUCUCAUGCCUCGUGGGUUCGAGCCCCACGUCGGGCU
rnacentral:tRNA from 1 species